rnacentral:rRNA from 1 species
UACGGGGGGGGCAAGCGUUGUUCGGAAUUACUGGGCGUAAAGGGCUCGUAGGCGGCCAACUAAGUCGGACGUGAAAUCCCUCGGCUUAACCGGGGAACUGCGUCCGAUACUGGAUGGCUGGAGGUUGGGAGAGGGAUGCGGAAUUCCAGGUGUAGCGGUGAAAUGCGUAGAUAUCUGGAGGAACACCGGUGGCGAAGGCGGCAUCCUGGACCAACUCUGACGCUGAGGAGCGAAAGCCAGGGGAGCAAACGGG